UACGUAGGGUGCAAGCGUUAAUCGGAAUUACUGGGCGUAAAGCGUGCGCAGGCGGCUUUGCAAGACAGAUGUGAAAUCCCCGGGCUUAACCUGGGAACUGCAUUUGUGACUGCAUGGCUGGGGUGCGGCAGAGGGGGAUGGAAUUCCGCGUGUGAGCAGUGAAAUGCGUAGAUAUGCGGAGGAACACCGAUGGCGAAGGCAAUCCCCUGGGCCUGCACUGACGCUCAUGCACGAAAGCGUGGGGAGCAAACAGG
rnacentral:rRNA from 1 species